rnacentral:rRNA from 1 species
ACCGUGAGGGAAAGGCGAAAAGAACCCCGGCGAGGGGAGUGAAACAGAACCUGAAACCGUGUACGUACAAGCAGUGGGAGCCCCACCACUAAGCCAGUGGUGAACUCCACAUACGCAUCCUUUGCUGAGGAUACGGUUAACGGAGCGAGAGCGACGUUCAGCCGCAAAAGAAGCAGAGGGGGCUUAGUGGUGGGGUGACUGCGUACCUUUUGUAUAAUGGGUCAGCGACUUAUAUUCUGUAGCAAGGUUAACCGCAUAGGGGAGCCGGAGGGAAACCGAGUCUUAAUUGGGCGUUAAGUUGCAGGGUAUAGACCCGAAACCCGGUGAUCUAGCCAUGGGCAGGUUGAAGGUUGGGUAACACUAACUGGAGGACCGAACCGACUAAUGUUGAAAAAUUAGCGGAUGACCUGUGGCUGGGGGUGAAAGGCCAAUCAAACCGGGAGAUAGCUGGUUCUCCCCGAAAGCUAUUUAGGUAGCGCCUCGUGAAUUCAUCUCCGGGGGUAGAGCACUGUUUCGGCCAGGGGGCCAUCCCGGCUUACCAAUCCGAUGCAAACUGCGAAUACCGGAGAAUGUUAUCACGGGAGACACACGGCGGGUGCUAACGUCCGUCGUGAAGAGGGAAACAACCCAGACCGCCAGCUAAGGUCCCAAAGUCAUGGUUAAGUGGGAAACGAUGUGGGAAGGCCCAGACAGCCAGGAUGUUGGCUUAGAAGCAGCCAUCAUUUAAAGAAAGCGUAAUAGCUCACUGGUCGAGUCGGCCUGCGCGGAAGAUGUAACGGGGCUAAACCAU